UUGGAGGGCAAGUCUGGUGCCAGCAGCCGCGGUAAUUCCAGCUCCAAUAGCGUAUAUUAAAGUUGUUGCAGUUAAAAAGCUCGUAGUUGAAUUUCGGGAUCAAUAUAUUGGUCGUGCCUCUGGUAUGCACUGGUAUUAUUGAUUUCUACCUUCUGACGAACUGUGAUGUCAUUAAUUUGGUGUCAUGGGGAAUCAGGACUGUUACUUUGAAAAAAUUAGAGUGUUUAAAGCAGGCACACGCUUGAAUACAUUAGCAUGGAAUAAUGAAAUAGGACGUUUGACCCUAUUUUGUUGGUUUCUAGGAUCGACGUAAUGAUUAAUAGGGAUAGUUGGGGGCAUUAGUAUUCAAUUGUCAGAGGUGAAAUUCUUGGAUUUAUUGAAGACUAACUACUGCGAAAGCAUUUGCCAAGGAUGUUUUCAUUAAUCAAGAACGAAAGUUAGGGGAUCGAAGACGAUCAGAUACCGUCGUAGUCUUAACCAUAAACUAUGCCGACUAGGGAUCGGAUGAUGUUAAUUUUUUAAUGACUCAUUCGGCGCCUUACGAGAAAC
rnacentral:rRNA from 1 species